rnacentral:tRNA from 1 species
GGCUCUGUAGCUCAACGGUUAGAGCAGAGGACUCAUAAUCCUUUGGUUCAGGGUUCGAAUCCCUGCGGAGCCA